rnacentral:rRNA from 1 species
UUGAACGCUGGCGGCAUGCCUUACCCAUGCAAGUCGAACGGCAGCACGGGUGCUUGCACCUGGUGGCGAGUGGCGAACGGGUGAGUAAUACAUCGGAACAUGUCCUGUAGUGGGGGAUAGCCCGGCGAAAGCCGGAUUAAUACCGCAUACGAUCUACGGAUGAAAGCGGGGGACCUUCGGGCCUCGCGCUAUAGGGUUGGCCGAUGGCGGAUUAGCUAGUUGGUGGGGUAAAGGCCUACCAAGGCGACGAUCAGUAGCUGGUCUGAGAGGACGACCAGCCACACUGGGACUGAGACACGGCCCAGACUCCUACGGGAGGCAGCAGUGGGGAAUUUUGGACAAUGGGCGAAAGCCUGAUCCAGCAAUGCCGCGUGUGUGAAGAAGGCCUUCGGGUUGUAAAGCACUUUUGUCCGGAAAGAAAUCCUUGGCCCUAAUACGGUCGGGGGAUGACGGUACCGGAAGAAUAAGCACCGGCUAACUACGUG